rnacentral:rRNA from 1 species
AUAGUACCGUGAGGGAAAGGUGAAAAGAACCCCGGGAGGGGAGUGAAAUAGAACCUGAAACUAUGUGCUUACAAGCGGUCAGAGCCCGCAAGGGUGAUGGCGUGCCUUUUGGAGAAUGAUCCUGCGAGUUACGUUCAGUGGCAAGGUUAAGUUUAACGGAGCCGAAGGGAAACCGAGUCUGAACAGGGCGAUUUUAGUCGCUGGGCGUAGACGCGAAACCUGGUGAUCUAAGCCUGUCCAGGGUGAAGCUGUGGUAAGACACAGUGGAGGCCCGAACUCACCGCCGUUGAAAAGUUGGGAGAUGAGGUAGGUUUAGGGGUGAAAAGCCAAUCGAACUAGGAGAUAGCUCGUUCUCUCCGAAAUGCAUUUAGGUGCAGCCUUGAGUGUUUAAUUAUGGGGGUAGAGCACUGAAUGGACUAGGGGGCGCAUUGCUUACUGAAUCCAAUCAAACUCCGAAUACCAUAAUUCAAGAGCUCAGGAGUGAGACUAUGGGAAUUAACUUCCAUUGUCAAAAGGGAAACAACCCAGACCACCAGCUAAGGUCCCUAAUCAUAACUAAGUGGGAAAGGAGGUGGAGAUUCAUAAACAACCAGGAGGUUGGCUUAGAAGCAGCCAUACCUUUAAAGAGUGCGUAAUAGCUCACUGGUCGAGAGUCUCUGCGCCGACAAUGUAACGGGGCUAAGUUAUGAACCGAAGCUGUGGAAUUGCGCAAGCAAUUGGUAGGAGAGCGUUCUGUAGGCCGUUGAAGGAGAAGCGUAAGCAACUCUGGAGGUAUCAGAAGUGAGAAUGCAGGAAUAAGUAGCGAGAAGGGAGGCGAGAAUCCUCCCCGCCGGAAGACCAAGGUUUUCAGGGUAAAGCUUGUCUUCCCUGAGUAAGCCGGGACCUAAGCCGAGGCUAUAGUGCGUAGGCGAAUGGAAAACAGAUUAAUAUUUCUGUGCCAGUCAUAUUUUGUGAUGGAGGGACGCAGAAGGGUAUGUACGCGGAAGAACGGUAGUUUCCGUAAAAGCAUGUAGAAUGACUUGAUAGGUAAAUCCGUCAAGUUAGAUUUGAGGUGUGAUAUAUAGUCGUAAGAUGAAUGUACAAAUCCCACGCUGCCGAGAAAAGCUUCUAACGUUAAGGUAUGACUGCCCGUACCCGAAACCGACACAGGUGGUCAGGAUGAGAAAUCUAAGGCGGACAGGCUAACUCUCGUUAAGGAACUCUGCAAAAUUGCCCCGUAACUUCGGGAGAAGGGGUGCCCCUGAGUGUGAGCAUACACGCGAUGUUAAGCGCUUGGGGGUCGCAGUGAAGAGGCUCAAGCAACUGUUUAACAAAAACACAGGUCUAUGCUAAGCUGUAAGGCGAUGUAUAUGGGCUGACACCUGCCCAGUGCCGGAAGGUUAAGAGGAGGAGUGAGAGCUCCGAAUUGAAGCCCCGGUGAACGGCGGCCGUAACUAUAACGGUCCUAAGGUAGCGAAAUUCCUUGUCGGGUAAG